rnacentral:rRNA from 1 species
GACGAACGCUGGCGGCGUGCUUAACACAUGCAAGUCGAACGGAAAGGCCUGCUUUCCCUUGUGGAUUGCGGGUACUCGAGUGGCGAACGGGUGAGUAACACGUGAGUGAUCUGCCCCCAACUUGGGUAUAAGCCUGGGAAACUGGGUCUAAUUCCCGAUAGGACUGCAGGGUGGUGCCUGUGGUGGAAAACGAUUUUCUAGUGGUUGGGGAUGAGCUCGCGGCCUAUCAGCUUGCUGGUGGGGUAAUGGCCUACCAAGGCGGCGACGGGUAGCCGGCCUGAGAGGGUGGACGGCCACAUUGGGACUGAGAUACGGCCCAGACUCCUACGGGAGGCAGCAGUGGGGAAUAUUGCACAAUGGGCGGAAGCCUGAUGCAGCGACGCCGCGUGGGGGAUGACGGCCUUCGGGUUGUAAACUCCUUUCGACCGCGAGGAAGCCACCUGGUUGGAAGGGUGGUGACGGUAGUGGUAGAAGAAGCACCGGCUAACUACGUG